UGCAUCGAUGAAGAACGCAGCGAAAUGCGAUAAGUAAUGUGAAUUGCAGAAUUCAGUGAAUCAUCGAAUCUUUGAACGCACAUUGCGCUCCCUGGUAUUCCGGGGAGCAUGCCUGUUCGAGCGUCAUUAUCAACCAUCAAGCCCUGCUUGGUAUUGGGUGCCGUCCCUUCUGCGGACGCUCCUUAAAGUGAUUGGCGGUGGUGUUGAACCUCAAGCGUAGUAGAAUCUCUAGCUUUUUAGGUUUGGCGUCGCUCCGCCUCGAGAAACCCUCAUCUCAAGGUUGACCUCGGAUCAGGUAGGGAUACCCGCUGAACUUAAGCAUAUCAAUAAGCGGAGGA
rnacentral:rRNA from 1 species